CCUAAUGACGCACUGACGUCAAUGCAGGUCAAUAGCACACACUGCUGGAACUGGGCGUGCUACACCAAGCCAGAGCUGGAGCCUUUUCAAACAGCCCCAACUCUGCAAAUAUCCCAGCUUUGCGGGGAGGGGUGGGGGAAGCCAGGGUCUGGUAGGCACUGAGACCCCCCCAUCCCCCUCCAGCACCUUCAAAAUUGAUGCAUGUUUUCCUGAUGCCAAAAAAGAAAAAAAGGAAAAAGAAAAUCCAAACAGAUAUCAUCAGACGCACUGCAGUGCAAAAAAAAAAAAAAAAAAAAAAAAAAAAAAAAAAAAAAAAAAUUUAAAUCAUACCUGUCAAAGGAACCGUAUGUAAUCCGCGCACACAUUUACGCUCAGAAUGCAAUGCAUAUCAUUAGGGUCUGUCUAUAAAUAGACCCUGAGAAUGUGUGCAUCGGGAUUUAGUCCCCAAACGGGGUUUUCGAACGUGGGUGAUGAGUUCUUUGCUCUGAUCAGUUACUCAGGAGGUGCCUGAAUGUGUGGGGGUGGGAGCGUGGGAGGGGGGCUGCCUCCUCUCCCUCCUCCUUUCCUCUGGCUCGCCCCCUCCUUUCUUCUCUUUCUCUCCCCCCCUCCGCUUACCUCCCCUCUUUUCUCCCUCUCUCUCUCUCUCAUUUCCUCUCUUUCUCUUCUUCUCCGUCUCUCCUCCAGUCUCCCCCACCCUCUUUUCUUACUCUCCCCCUCCCUCUCUCCUCUCCUCCCCCUCCCUCUCUCCUCUCCUUCUCCCUCCAAGUCUGGCACUGAACGCGAACUGUUUUGCUUUGCUCCGGGAAGAGUGCAGACACAGAACGUGAAAUCCCGAGCUUUUUUGCGUGGUGCAUUUAAAACGCUUCCUUAUUUAUAUUACCCUCAUUCCCUCACCUCUCCCACCCCCUCACCAGUCCUUCCAAAUUUCCCUAGAAAUCUCUGUAAAGCGUGCGGAGGGGAAAAAAGUGAAGGAGCUCGCCAAGGAGUGUCAGUUCUCCCUUCACUCAACGUUGGAGACCGUUAUGGCCAGCAGAUGUCCACCUGCUUAGAAGACUCAAGUCCAAGUUUUCCCUUCAUCGCCCUGGAUGAGCCUCUGUUUCUCAAAAGAAAAAAUAAGGGUAGGGGCAGGGCCAGCUACAUAAUUCGUGGGACCCAGUAUAAAAUACAAAUGUAG
rnacentral:lncRNA from 1 species